GAGUAGCUGACUGAAUAGCUAGAUACAAGGUCAAACUGCUGCUGAGGCAUGGCAGAACGUGACUAUUAUUAUCUCUUUUAUUAACUGUUUGCUUCUUGUUUUUGACAACCGUAUUUUCAAGAAUUUCCUCAAUUAAGGACUUGUUAAUGGAUAACAACUGGCUGAUGGGGUUUAAAUAGGUCUGAAAGCUAAGCCAUACAACACUUCAGCAUUUUUUCAGAGAAACACAAGUCUCCAACGCCUAUCAAAAGAAGCAGACCAUGUCAAGAAUGGGGACACUUUUCCUGACGAUCUUCCUUGGUGUGUCAGGAUUCACAGUUGUGGCGCUACCUCAAGGUAAACAAUGACAAACUGUGAUUGUUUAUUUGUUAAACUGUGAUAUGGUUAUCACACUGUCUGUCACGAUAACAAACAAAUCAUUAUUUUAUCAAAUUUGUGUGACUGGUAUAGUACAAUUAUUGCAAAGUUGCAAAAAAAAAUAUAUAUGUUUGAGGAACCUUAAGAUCUGUCAAGCUCAAUGUCAUGUCAAGUUUAAGUUCCCCCUUCAGCUCUGCAGACAGUCAUGCUGUCUUGAGUAUCUCUUAGGCUGCGAUUGCAUUGCCUGGGAAAAGUGACCCAAUGUGGCACAGACCGAAGAUAUAUUAUGUAUAAACAGGAAGAAAGCACAUGGAAUCAGAUAUUCUUAGUUCCGUUUCGGGUGUCACUCGUGUGGAAAUAAAUCAGAUAUUAAUCGAAUACCUGCCAGUGCGACUGUCAUGGGAAUGAACAGAUCGGAUAUUCCCUGUCAUUCCAAUUCACACAUCAUUGAAAAUACGACAAUCUUAUACUGUUCAGCAUUUUAAUGACGUGUAACGUUACUUUCACAAGCCAUAAAGGGCUCUCCUUAUCUCCUCUUCUUUGCCUUAAAAUAGGACCAAUACUUUGCAGAUCGCUGAAGACGCUUAUUAAUUAGUUUGCAUCCAUUGCUGUGCCAGCCAGUUGUUUACUUUCGUUUCAGUAACCAAACUUGUACGCAUGUGGGUUGUUUCAAGUGUUAAGGAAGUGUAAACACAGGAAUCGGAUAUGGGUCAGUUUUAAAAGUAGAUGCAAAUAGGUGGUAAAAAAAAAUUGGAUCUAGGCAGUGAAACAUCAGACUCAUUGUCUGUCACUUAUCUAUUCUGUUAGUGAGUAAUGACACAUAAUAAAAACAGGACAAUGUCAAAUUAUGCUUUUUUAGCAUUUAUUAUUUUAUGUAAUACACAUGUAAAGCAGCAGUGAGGAGUUCUGGUCAAACACUAGCAAUCUAACUGCCUAACAGGCAUGCAGAAACCUCACUGUUAUGCCCUUGGGUGGUCCUAUGGGAAAAACAACACUCCCCCAUUCCACUGAAGUAAAACCCAACAAAUCCAUGCCAUAUGAUUUACCAGGUGCACCUCAUUGCGCAAUCAGAUGUGGCAUAGCUGGCCAGAGCUACACAGAGGACAGGAGAGGACAAACUGCACAAGGAACAC
ensembl:lncRNA